UUACGGCCAUAUCACUUUCAAACACCUGUUUGCGUACGAUCACCAAAGUUAAGCAACAUUGAGCCUGGUCAGUACCUACAUGGGUGACAGCUUGGGAAUAGUGAGUGCUGUAAG